UUAAUAUUAACCUUCUUCGCUCAUCCCGCUCGCUGCUCUCCAAACUCCGACGGAGACUCAUCCCGAUGUCUGUAAUCCAAAGAAUUUAUCAAGGUCUUCGUAAAGUUUUCAUUCUUAUCAUUUCCAUUUUCCCUUUUAUUUUUGUUCUCUAGGGUUUUCUCUAAUUUAAGAUGUUGAAAUUUCCUCUGUAAGUAUGUAUUAGAAAAAAUCGAAGCUUAGUUGCUGCUUUUAUUUUAAAUCCCUUUUUUUCUGAUUGGGUUUCUUCUAUCACCCUGUCUUUUUCUUCGUCUUUUCGUUUGUGUUUUUUUUCUUCUUCUGUACUUUUGUUGACCGUUUUACUAUGGUUUUCUUCUUAUUGGGUUUUUGUUUUUCUGUAAAAUCUUGAUUAAGCGUGUCUGGUAGUCUUAUUUCAGAAUGUGUUUCUGUGGUUUUUUUGUUCAUUUGAAAAUGUUUUGUGUGUUUGGAUGGAAGAAUCUAUCACCUGAUACUAUUAUAUUUCCUAUUUCUCUUCCACUGAUCUACAUUUUACUAAUAAGAUGAUAACUCCGGUCAAAAUCUUGGAUCUUGUCAUGGUUUUGAAUGUGUUGAUAAUUCUCUUGCUAUGGCGUUCAGCUGCCCUUAAUUUGGAAUGCAUCCCUGUAAGAUCAUUAACAAGAUUCUGGUCCAAAUGUUCUACAUCCAUCUGUUUGAUGAAAUACCUGAGAAAUCAGUUGAAACCCAGACUUCAAAUUUGAACUGGUAACUUUGGUUAGGUUGAGAUGAUUAUGUUGUGAUUUUAACUUGUAACAAAAUGGAGUUCAGGAAAUGCUAAAUCAGCUAUUGCUAUCUCUUUAUCAGAAGUUACACAGACCCAGAGAUUCUUUAGUUGUCAAAGCAGAUAAGGAGGAAGCUGAAAGAAGUUGAUCAAAAUGAAUACUUUUGGAUGAUCAUUCUGGAAAGUAUUAUAAGAUUAAAUGCAUGAAAUCUUGUCUGAUUACAUGUAAAUUCUGCAAUAUUGUAAGAUUAAGGGAACAACAAUCUGGCAAGAUUUCAAGUGAAUUUGAAGUUUAAAAAAGGAACCAAAUAAGAUGAGCAAUAUUUAUUUUCAACUUGGGGCAUUCCGAGAAUCAAACUCGGGACCUCUCGCACCCGAAGCGAGAAUCAUACCACUAGACCAAACGCCCAUGUGGCUUCAUAUGGUAGGAGUUUCUACUUUAUGGAAGUAAUAAAUGAAUGUAUGAAACAUUUUACUUUUUUCUAUAAUCAUUGUUCUUGAUUUUUUUAGCUAUAAAAUUGAGAAUAGUUGUUGCAGCCAACAAAACAACAACCAAAUCCAACUAGUAAAGUGGUAAGAGGAGGUAAAAUGUAGACAAUCAUACGAAUGUAAAAUACCUCCACCCAGGAAGUGAGGAAUUCAAGAUUCAAACUUAUGUGUGUCCGAUUAAAUUGAUGUGACCAAAUAAACAUGUUGAUAGAAGUUGGUUAUUGGGGGUCGGGUUGUCAUUUUUUUGAAAACAAUCUAUAAUGU